rnacentral:tRNA from 1 species
GCACCGGUGGUGGAAAGCAGAAGAUGCGGGUUCGAGUCCCGCCUGGUGCA